GACAGAGGUGCCGAGCGUUAGGCGGAAUCACUGGGCUUAAAGCGUGUGUAGGCGGACCGUUAAGUACCUUGUGAAAUCCCACGGCUCAACCGUGGAACGGCUGGGUAUACUGGCGGUCUUGGGCCACUCAGGGGCGAGCGGAACAAGUGGUGGAGCGGUGAAAUGCGUAGAUAUCACUUGGAACGCCGACGGUGAAAACAGCUCGCUGGGAGUGUGCCGACGCUGAGACACGAAAGCCAGGGGAGCGAACGGG
rnacentral:rRNA from 1 species